AGCUGAGGAGAUGGAACUUGUCGGAGCAAAGAGCAGCAGUUUGAUUUACAGUAGUACCGCUCUCCGCCGGCGAGCGGAGGUCCCGGGCUGAACCACUGGCUGAGAAAAAAGACCCAGCCUGGAGAAGAGAAUUCUGGCCGGAGGUCCAACAUUUUGCUCAGCAUCAGUUGGCGAGGUCUACUGUGUAGAGAGCAUUCUAAGAGAAUGUGGUCCAUUGAAUCAGGUACUACUUGGUUGCAGGCACACAGACGGGCUUGAUAUGGGGUAUGAGAGAAUCUACCUUUGGUCACUGCAGAGAGGAAGGCAUUUAAUCUUGUGAGCAUAAAGGCUCUUCAAUGGGAAGGGAGUAGUAGAUCCUUUACAUAUUUGGCACAGGUUCCGUAGGGUUUUGCAAUACCUAAGACCUCCAGAGAACAGGAUCUCGGAGUAUGAGGUAACAAGCGCUGUCUUUUGUAGUCGUAGAGCUACUGCUUGGUUAUUUGGAAUAUGUAACUUUCGUCACAUUGGACUAGAUGAUCCACAGGGUCCCUUCCAACUCUACAAUUCUAUGAUUUACAAUUUUUUAUUGCAUCAAACAAAGAUUCAUCCUUGCUCUAACAUUACAAACUGGGAAAGGAGAAUCCAUACUAAAUAGAUAAAUUGUGGUUUUUAAAGUCUAGUCCGACUUGUGGCUGAAACAAAAUGAAUGCAAUUGGCAGCUCUUUAGAGAAACAGUGGAAGUCCAGUCAGCAUGCUCUACUCCCUACAUCUGAUCAGAGCCUAGUAAAACUCAAAAUCAGUUUCUCUUUACUGUAUGUUAGAAAUACCUAGUAUGGAGAAAGUGCCGUUCAGAAGAUUGCAAAAUGUCUUGUGCAACUGAACAACAUGACAAAGUUAAGUACUUUUAGGUCCAUUGAUUUCAAUGGAAAACAGUUAUGCAUAUCCUUAACUAUCCCAGUGGAAAUCAAUGAAAUGCAAAAGUGCUCAAUUUUGGCUACACCAUGAGCUGAGCACUGAUUUCUCAAUGGUCUAUCAUGUUACUGAGGAUGUUCAGUUUUCAGCCCAGUCUUAAGAUUUUUAAAAGGUUAGAUUUAUGGCCAAGUGCCUCCCUGGGCAUUCAGCCAUAUUACCCCUGCCUACAAUAAGCAAUAAAUCAUAGACAAAUGUAGCUACAGUGGUAAUGUUCUUUUAUAGAACAUUUUGAUCAGCAGUAUCGUUCACAGACUUGAGUGAUCUAGCUGUCAUAUAGAAUGCUUAAGAAGUUUCAUAGUUUUAAUUUUAAUACAAACAUGUAAAAUAUACAUAGUAAAUUAAUAGCAAAAGAAAAUGCUUGAAGCAGUGCCAUGGACAUGUUUUGAUCCCAAAAUAAUUGUUCCCCAAACUUUGGUAGGCCUCUGCAGCUACUUUUCAACAUUGUCUUUUCAGUUUUCACUUUCUGUAAAAUUUCAUCUCUGCUGCAGAUUUUAACUUGCCAUUAUCCAACUUCAAGACAUACGUUGGCCUGAUCAAGCUAUUAUUAUUACAAGACAUUUCUAUCCAUGAGUGUUUCCAUAUAGGAAGCUACUGACUUCAUAACAUCUGUUCUAUAGUAUUGUGACGACUCUGAUAUGUAGUAGAUGAAUAUUGUCUCCACUCCUGCUCUGUGUUUCUCCUUUCUUUUCCCCACCCCUCUUAUUGGGAUUCUUUUACUAGGUCUCAGCUAGUGGAUCAUCUAUGGGUCUCAUCUAUGGGUCAUCACCCAUAGAUUAAAUUACUUGUGGCAGGCAGUGUCACAGAAUCAAUGGUGCUUCUAGGGCUAGCUGGCAUGUGACCCUUAGAGGGCCACCCCCAAUGAACUCCACUACCAGCAUCACAGAGGUUCCCCACCCCUGGCCAGAGACGAUUCAGUAAAUGUGCUGGCCAAUGGGUGGGUUGGGGAGCACAACUGUGUGUGUUGGCUUUAAACGAUGAAACUUUCCAGCAGAUGCUGGCUCACAUGGCCACACACACAAAACCCCCUUGAGAUUAUCAUGGUUUGCACAUGCAGUUCUAAUUUUCUAACAUGGUCCCCUUGGCAGGGUGGAUAUAUCAUUAUCUAUCCUUCAGAAGACAUCCCUGAGUUCUGCUGUAUAGAGCAGCAGCUCUCUGUAAGUGUAUAAAUAGGGACAGUUUGAAACUGUACAUCUCAAUUUGUUGAGGCUGUCAUUAUAACUGCACCUUUCAGUUGCUCGUUCUAAGAGUGUCAGUUCUCUAAUAAGCUCUUCUGCAGCAGGACUCCUUGUUUCUGCUUGAAUCUGUGUCACUGUAUGUCUGUUUGUAUAAAGAUUGGGAGGCUUGGGUCAGGAGCUUUAUGCUCUCUAACCUACAGUUUCAACUAGCAGCAGCCAAAUUGCAGCUGGCAAUUUCUAACCACACAUUAAUCUGAUGCCCCAGGUCAAAUUUUGCUUUGGUCCAGAUGAUAAAAUGUCCCUUCUGUGUGCCCUCUCUUUUGCUGCUGUUAUGAUGAAAGACCUAUAUGGAGAAGGAAUAAAGGAACCAACACAGUCACAUCUGCACCAUACAUUUAAAGCUCACGGCUUCCCUCCUCCAAAGAAUCCUGGGAACCCUCACAGAGCAAUAAUUUCCAGCACCCUUAACAAACUACAGCUCCCAGGAUUCCUUGGGAGAAGCCAGGUGCUUUAAAUGUUUAGUGUGGAUGUAGCCCAGGAGUUCCUGCUCAAAAAGCCUUGUUUUCAUUCAGUACUUGUUUCCCUGUAGUCUUUUUAAGUGGUAGCAAGAUGCCAAUUAAGUGGUAGAAUGUACAUUUAAAAUUGAAUUGGGGUAGACAGGACUUUUCUUAAUAUGCACAGGAGGGGAGAAGUGUAAACUUGCAUCUACAACAUAUAGCUUGCACCAAAUUUGUCCAAGGCAGUAGCUGUGCUAAUCAAAUAUUUUUAAAUCUGCUAAAUAGCACAGCUUGCCACUUAGAACUUGUAAUUUUCAAGCAUACAAAACAGAGAGCAGAAUAAACUAAAGGGGAUUUGUUGCCUGCUGAUGUCACAGUAGCCUUUAAAGGCGCACUGAGAGAGGCUUUUCCUUACUGCUUCUGGAAAGUAGGAUGUCAUAGUCUUAGGAUUUUCUUCCAGGUAAAGGAGUCACAGGUUGCUCAAGCAGAGUCUAGUACCCUCUCCCUCUCAGCUUUCUAAUGAUAAGUGCUGCCAGCAGAAGGAGAAGAAAUGAAAACACAGACUCACAGAUAUCUGGAAUAUUGUUACAGUGGUAUAAAUUUCUCGUACCUAAGAAAACCCCAAACCCCAUUGAAAUUUAUGUUAAGGACAUAAAAAGAGGCUCCUUGGAUCAAAGGCCCAUCAAUUCCAGCAUCCUUUUCUCAUAGUGACCUACCACAUGCCUGUGGGAAGCCUGCAGUACAUAAAUGUAGUUGAGAAAAUGUUAGGAUGCUUAAGUUUUUGCUUUGUCGACUGCAGUCCUAUACACACUUACCUGGGAAUAGGUCUUGUUGACCUCAGUGGGGAUCAUUUCUAAGUAGACAUGCAUAGGCUUGUGCUGUCAGUAACUGUACAGAUUGUCAAGAUCUGGUUUUACCUCUUCUAUGGCAUCAAAAAUACAUUGAUUCAAAUUAUGUCUCGCAAGAGCAAUGCCUUUCAUCAGCAUCUUUUUUUCCUUUUGAUUUUUGGCAAAAUCCACUCACUUCAGUAGUUAUUUGAAAUGGGAGACAAUUAGGGAACAAGAGGACUGCCACAAGCUAGGUUUCAUGUUAUGUUUUUCGAAGAAGGGUGUCUUCACUGAUGAUUACAUUUGUUUUAUUACACCAAAAAAGUACAGUACACCCAAAGAGGAAGUGUGCCGAGCCUGCAGAUCAACAAAAAACAGGAGAAGGAAAAUGCUGAAGUGUGGAAUACUAAAAUGACUAGUCAUUUCCUGCUUUAUGCAACCCCCAGAAUUUUCAUAUAGGAAACAUUAUAGUCUUAUCUACAGAUACGUGCUUGGAAGGUAGAAACCUGGAAGGUCAAAAAGUUACAAAAUGGCUCAGUGACUUGAACUCACUUUCAUUCAACCGAGCAUGUGCUCACAACUAUGAAUCUUUUUCACCAAAUACAGUUUUAGAGUUUUCCCAAAGAUGUUUCAGUAUUUGUCUUUGGAAUAUUACUACAAACUUUAGGGGUGAGGAGGAGGAGGAGGAGGGAAUGGAGAGAAAGGGGGACAGAGAAAGUUUCAGCUGAUGGCGCUCUGCUAAUAAAGCAUUUGGGGCAUGAUCAAGAUAAAGGUAAGCAAUAACCAACAACAGCACAAGCAUAGCAACAACAAUAAAUUUUAUAUAUGCCAAAUUAUUAUUAUUAUUAUUAAUUAAUGCAAAAUUAUUCUUAUAAGCAGCUUACAAAACACUAAAAAGUUUCAUCACAAAUGAUAAACAUCCAAAAUAAACACAAUAAAACAAUCCCAUUAAUACAUUAAAAUUUAAACAUCCAUAAAACAUAGAAGUACCUUUUAAGCCAUCUUGAUUUUAAUAUGGGAGAGCUAAGCACAUACUUUUGUUCUUUUGUCAGGAUCAUGCUUCAUAUUUUUGGAAAUAUGCUAUUUAAUUGGGAUUUGACAUACAAUUCACUAUUAAUUAUACUAGAAUCAGUACCCUUCAUGACUCAACCCUGGGAGGUCAUUUGCCUAGUGCACCUUCAUGACCCAGAUUUCAGUUACAUGCAAAUUAUUUUCUUUUUAGCCUACUUUAUGCUGUGCUUUUACUCUUUUCUGCAUGGUGCACCUUAUUUCAAAAAUUUCACAUCCACUGAUGUGCCAAGUCAUUUAAGCUGCCUAACUGCGAACAAAUUUAAUAAGCAAACACCACUUUUUCAUUUACCCAUCUAAAUUCAUUUAAAUUCAUGCACAUUUUAAGUGGGUUCCUUUGCCUAAAAAUAGCUGAUAGUUGGUAAAAAGCAGACCUGCUUUUCUGAAAUGGAGAUGAAGUGACAGCCUCACCUGAAGAAUGUGCUAAAUGUGGGUAUCACUUAGAGAUCUAAUUUCAUGAUACCAAAACAAAACUUUGCCCCCAAGGCUUGGGGAACUUGAAAACAGUUGCCAGCAUCUAUUGAUGAUGAGCAGGUUUUUUCCUCCCUGACUGCACCUGGCUGGACUGAUUGAUUUGGCUUUCAGUGCCAAAAGGGAAAGAGGUCAGCUGCUUCAACAAUGCUGUGUACAAAGUGUACUGUGUGCAGCUGUGUAUACAAAACUGUGUGCAAUUCUUUCUUUU